rnacentral:rRNA from 1 species
AGCGAACGCUGGCGGCAGGCCUAACACAUGCAAGUCGAACGGAUCCUUCGGGAUUAGUGGCGGACGGGGGAGGAACACGUGGGAACGUGCCCUUGGGUUCGGAACAACUCAGGGAAACUUGAGCUAAUACCGGAUGUGCCCAUCGGGGGAAAGAGUUAUCGCGAUUGGAGCGGGCCGGGUCUGCUUAGCUAGUUGGUGAGGUAACGGCCGACCAAGGCGACGAUCAGUAGCUGGUGUGAGAGGAUGAUCAGCCACGCUGGGACUGAGACACGGCCCAGACUCCUACGGGGAGGAGCAGUGGGGAAUCUUGCGGAAUGGGCGAAAGCCUGACGCAGCCAUGCCGCGUGAAUGAUGAAGGUGUUAGGAUUGUAAAAUUCUUUCAGCGGGGACGAUAAUGACGGUACCCGGAGAAGAAGCUCCGGCUAACUUCGUG